rnacentral:rRNA from 1 species
GAUGAACGCUGGCGGCGUGCCUAAUACAUGCAAGUCGAGCGAACAGACGAGGAGCUUGCUCCUCUGACGUUAGCGGCGGACGGGUGAGUAACACGUGGAUAACCUACCUAUAAGACUGGGAUAACUUCGGGAAACCAGAGCUAAUACCGGAUAAUAUAUUGAACCGCAUGGUUCAAUAGUGAAAGCCGGUUUUGCUGUCACUUAUAGAUGGAUCCGCGCCGCGUUAGCUAGUUGGUAAGGUAACGGCUUACCAAGGCUACGAUGCGUAGCCGACCUGAGAGGGUGAUCGGCCACACUGGAACUGAGACACGGUCCAGACUCCUACGGGAGGCAGCAGUAGGGAAUCUUCCGCAAUGGGCGAAAGCCUGACGGAGCAACGCCGCGUGAGUGAUGAAGGUCUUCGGAUCGUAAAACUCUGUUAUUAGGGAAGAACAAAUGUGUAAGUAACUAUGCACGUCUUGACGGUACCUAAUCAGAAAGCCACGGCUAACUACGUG